rnacentral:rRNA from 1 species
AUACGUAGGGGGCUAGCGUUAUCCGGAAUUACUGGGCGUAAAGGGCGCGUAGGCGGCGCUUCAAGUCGUCUGUCAAAUGGGAGGGCUUAACCCUUUUUCGCAGACGAAACUGGAGAGCUUGAGAAGCAGAGAGGCAAACAGAAUUCCUGGUGUAGCGGUGAAAUGCGUAGAUAUCAGGAAGAAUACCAGUGGCGAAGGCGGUUUGCUGGCUGCAUACUGACGCUGAAGCGCGAAAGCCAGGGGAGCAAACGGGAUUAGAUACCCCGGUAGUCCUGGCAGUAAACGAUGUAUGCUGGGUGUGAGACUAGCGAUAGUUUCGUGCCGAAGUUAACGCGAUAAGCAUACCGCCUGGGGAGUACGGUCGCAAGAUUGAAACUCAAAGGAAUUGGCGGGG